rnacentral:snRNA from 1 species
UGGUGUUAGUUGGUUAAUU